GCUAGUGGUGGGCUUGGACUGUUACAAAUGGUAUCAGAGCCAAACAUUGGGCGACGUGCCAGUGAGGAGGCUAAGCCCCGAAGAGGGUUGACACGAGGCGGUGUGC